CUCUCUCCUUUUUUUUCAUGCCUCUGUGCACAACUGCCAGUGACGGGUGUCGUCGGAGAAGGGACCCCCUAUUUGGUCUCUUCUUUUCUUUGAUUUUUCGGCAUCGGCGAUCACCGCCGACCACCGGCUUUUGCCUCUCCGAACUCGAGAGGGUUGCCCCCUGCUGCCGGCCUUCGCCGUGCCGGCUCUGGUCUGGACGGCCGGUCAAAG
rnacentral:lncRNA from 1 species